rnacentral:lncRNA from 1 species
CAAAUUGAUUCCCUUCUUCCUUUCCCUCUCUCUUCCCAGAACUGGAAAACAAUCCAAUCUAGGUUAAAUGUGCAUAUACCAUGUUUUAGAGACAGAACUUCUUAACCUUUUAAUGUCAUAGACACCUUUGACACUUAUAAAGCAGAUGGCCCCAUUCUCAGAAUAAUAAUGUUAAAUGCAUUAAAUAAACAUCUAAGAUUACAAAGGAAAAUAAGUAUAUAGAAAUACAUUGAAGAAAUAUAUGUUUCUCUUUAUAUAUAUAUAUGUAUGUAUUUAUAAUAUAUUUGAAUUGUUUCAUAGACCCCUGUUUGGUUAGGGAAGUGGAGGAGUAUAAUUGUUUGUUUUAAAAUCUUUUUAUAAAAUUUAAUGUGUAGAUUGACUAUUUUUUUAUUUGCCUGAACAUACAGUUUGUGUUCUUUUUGCAUUAGUGAACCUCACUUGGCAUACAGAAAACCUAGCUGAAAAAGCCCUGAAGGGCCAUCACAAGGAAGAGAAAUUAGACCUGUUCUACUUGGCGCCAAAAGGCAGAUCUGGGACCAAUGGAUGGAAGUCAUGGAGGACUUUGCUUUAAGAAUCUGAGUCACUGGAAUUAAAUCAUGCUAUAACAUGAUGAUGGAAAAACAUGGAAAGAUUUACAUGAACUAAUGCAAAGUGAAGCCAACAGAAAAGCAUUGAACAUGGUAACAGAAAUAUCUUUUGAUGAACAACUAUGAAUGACCUAGUUAUUCUAAGAAAUAUAGUGAAUCAAGAUAAUCCUAAAGACUUGUGAAAAAUGCCAUC